ACAGGACCACAAGUGUGCCACCAAAGAUGCAGAGUGAAAGAGGCAGUUAAAGGCAAAAAAGCAUCCUUUAAAAAUUGGAAAACAAAUCCUACUGAGGAAAAUAUAAAGGAGCAUAAAUUCUGGCAAGUCAAAUGUAAAAGCGUAAUAAAGC